GUAUAUGAGGUGAUUAAUUGGAGGGCAAAUCAAGUGCCAGCAGCCGCGGUAAUACUUGUUCCAAGAGUGUGUAUGAUGAUUGAUGCAGUUAAAAAGUCCGUAGUUUAUUUUUUUAAGAAGCAAUAUGAGGUGUACUGUAUAGUUGGGAGAAAGAUGAAAUGUGACGACCCUGACUGGACGAACAGAAGCGAAAGCUGUACACUUGUAUGUAUUUUUUGAACAAGGACGUAAGCUGGAGGAACGAAGAUGAUUAGAUACCAUUGUAGUUCCAGCAGUAAACCAUGCCGACGAUGUGAUAUCGAAAUGUUAAUUUGUAUUACAUAAUAGAAAUUUGAGUUUUUUAGCUCUGGGGAUAGUAUGAUCGCAAGAUUGAAAAUUAAAGAAAUUGACGGAAGAAUACCACAAGGAGUGGAUUGUGCGGCUUAAUUUGACUCAACGCGAGGUAACUUACCAAUAUUUUAUUAUUUUGAGAGAACGGUUUUUUGUUUGAGAAUGAUAAUAGUGGUGCAUGGCCGUUUUCAAUGGAUGCUGUGAAGUUUUGAUUAAUUUCAACAAGACGUGAGACCCUUAUUUUUUAUUAGAGACAGACACAAUCAGUGUAGGAAGGAAAGGAUUAAAACAGGUCCGUUAUGCCCUCUGACAUUUUGGGCUGCACGCGCAAUACAAUAGAUAUA
rnacentral:rRNA from 1 species